rnacentral:misc_RNA from 1 species
AACGCAAAUUGCGCUCUCGGGAUAGGCCUGAGAGCACGCCUCUUUGAGUAUCGAUUCCACCACCUCCAGAACAAUUACUAUUUAUUUAGAAUUUGACACUGGGAGUUUGAGUGUUUUUCUUGAGCAAUUGAGAAAUCGCUUGAAAUGGAAUGGAUUUGGGGGAAAAGAUGUUCCUUACUCUAUCAAAUGGAUUGCAUUUUUGCAUGAUUGAACGUGGAUAAUUUCCAAUGUUUGAAAGUGUGAAGAUGAAAUUGUGACUGGAGUUUUGUUUGCAUCUUGCUUGAAUGCACCUCACCUAAAAAGACAUUAAUCUUAAUAAAUUAAGAAUUAGAUCUCAAAUGAAGCGAGACAACCCGCUGAACUUAA